rnacentral:rRNA from 1 species
UUAAGCCAUGCAUGUCUAAGUAUAAGCGAACUUAUACAGUGAAACUGCGGAUGGCUCAUUAAAACAGUUUGAAUUUAUUUGAUGAAUGUAUGAGAAUACUACUUGGAUAACUGUAGUAAUUCUAGAGCUAAUACAUACAUGCAACGACGCCCGACCGUUUCACUACGGAAGGGCUGUAUUUAUUGGAUACCAAAACCAUCCUUCCCUCGGGAAGUUUUGUUUGAUGAUUCACAAUAACUGAUCGGAUCGCCACUGUGGUGGCGACAGGUCAUUCAACAUUCUGCCCUAUCGGCUUUCGAUGGUUGUGUAGUGGACAACCAUGGCCAUAACGGGUAACGGAGAAUCAGGGUUCGAUUCCGGAGAAGGAGCUUGAGAAUUGGCUACUACAUCUAAGGAAGGCAGCAGGCGCGCAAAUUACCCAAUCCCGAUUCGGGGAGGUAGUGACAAAAAAUAACAAUACCGGGCCUUUUUGGGCUUGGUAAUUGGAAUGAGGGAGAGUUAAACGGACCAUCGAGUAUCCAUUGGAGGGCAAGUCUGGUGCCAGCAGCUGCGGUAAUACCAGCUCCAAUAGCGUAUAUUAAAGUUGUUGCAGUUAAAAAGCUCGUAGUUGGACUUGUGUGCGCUGUCCGCGGGUGGCCUGCGCCCAAAAGGGCGUUUCGGUUCGGCCCCGGUGGCGCCUUGAAAUCUGCGCUGGGGGGACGUUGGCCUUAACUGGUCGGCGACCGCACGCCGGCUGCUCGGUUACUGUGAGAAAAUUAGAUUGUUCAAGGCAGGGGUGCAAUUGAAUACAUUAGCAUGGAAUAAUAAAAUAUGGCUCCUGCCGUAUUUUGUUGGUUUUGACUGGUGGGAGUAAUGAUUGAUAGGGACGGUUGGGGGUGCUAGUAUUGAGCGGCCAGAGGUGAAAUUCAUGGAUUCGCUCAAGACUAACUUAUGCGAAAGCAUUCACCAAGGACGUCCUCUUUAAUCAAGAACGAAAGUUGGGGGAUCGAAGACGAUCAGAUACCGUCGUAGUCUCAACCAUAAACUAUGUCGACUUGGGAUCGGCGGUAGUUUUUUCAUUAAGACACUGUCGGGACCACGGGAGAAAUCAAAGUGUCUGGACUCUGGGGGAAGUAUGGUCGCAAGGCUGAAACUUGAAGGAAUUGACGGAAGGGCACCACCAGGAGUGGAGCCUGCGGCUUAAUUUGACACAACACGGGGAAACUUACCAGGUCCAGAGAUGUAGAGGAUUGACAGAUUGAAGCUCUUUCUUGAUCACUUCGGUGGUGGUGCAUGGCCGUUCUUAGUUGGUGGAGUGAUUUGUCUGGUUAAUUCCGUUAACGAACGAGACCUCAGCCUGCUAGUGUAGUCGGCUGGA